rnacentral:sRNA from 1 species
UAUACCUUUUGUUUUUUAUUAUGAUCCUUUAUAUUUAAUUAAUGAAAUGAUGUCAGAAACAUUAAAUUCAGCUGUGAGUGAAAUCCAGGUGUAGGUGAAAGUGUUUAGAAAAUUCAGAAAGUGGAAGACAGAUGUAUGCAGCUGGUUGGCCGAUCGGUUUUUUACAGUAGUAUAUAAGCAAAAUUUUCAAACAUUGAGCCACUUUUGCAUGCACCUCUUCUCUCCAGAAUUCUGAGUUUCUCCUCCUUCUCUCUACAAUCUUCCUCCUUCUCUCUAAAAAUCCUCACUUUAUCCUUCUUUUGAUCAUCAUCUAGGCUGUGUGUGAGUUCUUCCUUGGUGGCAAGAAGUUCUUUUCCAUCAAUCUAGUUGCUGUGUGAAGUGGUGGCUUGUUUUAGAAGUGGUUGCUGGUUAGUUAAAGUGGUGGAAGCUUAGGAAGUGCCUAGUUUAUUCAAGAAGGUGAUGAGUGUUCGGUGGAGCAAACAUUGGAAGGCGAGGAUCCUGUUGCAUAGAUUAAGACCGCUCGGUCAUUAGUUGUGUAUGGUUUUAGAUUUGAUAGUUCGGUCAAUAGGUUUAGCUCCUCUUUUGUAAAC